AUACCCCUCAACUUCAAUCUUUGUUGAAUGAAGUUGGAUGUGGAUGCUGUUGUGUGCUGAUACGACUCAUCCUAAAUGCAUUAGCGAUCUGCCUUGGAUCACGCAAUGUGAUAAGAAAAAAGCAUUGCUGGACUCAUCAAGGAUUGCUCCCAACUGUCGGAAGACAAAAAGCAUAUAUGUC
rnacentral:misc_RNA from 1 species